AUGUGCUUCUUUAAGUUUUGCAGGAGACAGAAAACAGGCACGUUUUGUUGGGGGGGAACCACCCGUUCUAGCAGACAGAUGCAACACCUUUCAGAGAACCCAGACACUACACACUCCACUGACUUCCUUGUCCAGCCUGUACCAGCAACACAUCAUAGAAGGCAUCACCACCCACAGUGGACAGGGCAGUUUGUGGUAAUAAUCGUGACCGGCGGCUUCUGUCUAGACUUGUCCAUGCAAACAGACAAGUUCCAGACAAGUGACUCCCCACCCUUAUCUCCCACAGACAUGCAGUGGACUGCGGCACCCGGGCAGUCGCUGCUCCUGGCAGCAGAUGAAGUUCGGUCAUUAUCUUCACCCUGGCACCAAAAUGAAAGCCUUGGCUGGUGAUGUUGUGCAGAGAGCAGCUGCUUAAAAUGGCGUCUCGGUGCUUCUGGUGUAGAGGAGGACCAGAGGGAGGACAUUAGGAAGUGAUGGACUGGACCUGCUUAAUGGACACUCCCUCUCUUAUUCUCUCUCUCUCUCUCGCUCUCUCUCUCUCUCUCUCUUCCUCUCCUUCUCCUUCCUCCCCGCCGCAGGCCUCAUACACACUCACAAAUCUCUUUUUAUUAGUGCCAUCAUUACUGUAAUGCUGUUGCUAAUAUUACCCUUGGUAAUGCUAACAACACUAUCGUAAAUGGAGUUAGCGUUCAUGAUUAGAAGUAUUCCGUUAAGGCUCCUGGGGCCACGCUCUUUUUCCCUGAGCUGGACCACGCUUCUCCACCACAGAGCCGAAGUGAAGGUCCUUACUGUGUUAUAGACGCGUUUCUCCAAAUCUAAAGUAGAAAUCUUUGCUGUUUUCUGUUUUAACCUGAGCCGCUCUCUUUCUAUGCUCUGUUAAUUCUCUCUCUCUCUCUCUUUCUUUCUACCUCGCCAAGUUUUUCUUACAGAAUGUCCCAGGAGGCUGCCAGAGCCUCCGCCGGCCAGUUCCAGCCAGCUUGAGAUUGGGGAACUGGCCAAAAGCCACCUGUUCAACAACAAAAAGGAGGCUAGAUAAGUUUUAGUGUAUGGUCCCUCUAGAGUCUGACCACAUUUUAUCUCAGCACAAUAGUUUAGACUCUGAAAAGUCUAUAAACCAUUAAGGGCAUAUUUCAUAUGUUUCUAUUGUGUUUUAUUUAUUUAUAUGUUUUCUUUGGCUCAUAAAUUCAACAAAUAUAUAUAUAGUCAACUAUAAUAUAUAUAGUGUAUGUAAAUCAUCUUUUGUUCUGAUUGGCUAUUGGUUAUGUUCUGAGCCUGAGCUAAAAGCCUGAAAAAAUAACCACUUCAAUUUCUGAAUCAGUUUUUCUGAUAACAUUGCUGUUUUAUUCUAUAAACUACAUACAACAUUUCUUCCAAAUUCCAAAUAAAAAUAUUGUUAUUUAGAGCA
rnacentral:lncRNA from 1 species